rnacentral:rRNA from 1 species
GACGAACGCUGGCGGCGUGCUUAACACAUGCAAGUCGAACGGGCCUUGUCCCCUUUUUUUUUGGGGGUGGGGUUAGUGGCGAACGGGUGAGUAACACGUGGGUAACCUGCCCCUCACUUCUGGAUAACCGCUUGAAAGGGUGGCUAAUACGGGGUGUUCUGGCCUGCUCGCAUGGGUGGGUUUGGAAAGAUUCGACCGGUUUUGGUUGUUUUGGUGGGGGAUGGGCUCGCGGCCUAUCAGCUUGUUGGUGGGGUGAUGGCCUGCCAAGGCUUUGACGGGUAGCCGGCCUGAGAGGGUGGGCGGUCACACUGGGACUGGGACACGGCACAGACUCAUACGGGAGGCAGCAGUGGGGAAUAUUGCACAAUGGGCGCAAGCCUGAUGCAGCGACGCCGCGUGAGGGAUGGAGGCCUUCGGGUUGUGAACCUCUUUCGCCAGUGAAGAAGGUCCUGCUCUUUGUGGUGGGGUUGACGGUAGCCGGGUUAAUGAAGCGCCGGCUAACUACGUG